ensembl:lncRNA
GUCUUUGGGUAGGAGUCCACCCUCUCCACAACCCCCAUCAUCCCCAUGUUGCUGGCCUCUGAAAUAAAGCAAACUUUCCUUCCCACCAACCUUGCCCUUUUAUUGGAUUCAGAGAGGAGGGCAGCCAUACCGCCCAUUUCAGUACCAGUUUUUCAGGCCCCAAGGUGAGGCUGCAUUCUCGCGAUACCUGCCUCCCUGGGGUUUUCCAAAGUAGAGUGGCGGCCAUGAUGCUGGGCGGGGAUGGUUGCAAGGAGCCUGCUGCUCCCGACUAGCUGGCCUUGAGGGAGGGAUUUGGGGGGACGUUCCUAGCAGCUGCCGAAACCAUUUGUUUCAAGGAUCCUCCCUGUUUCUCCCCGGCUGGGCACUGGCUGCCAACUUAACGCUUUUCCUUGGUGGAACGGAAACCGGCAUCUGGAAGAACUGACGAGCUCCAGGACUAAAUCCACGGCCUGUCGGGGCAGAUGGCAGACACUCCCUUCUUCCUCUUCACUGGGACUUGUUCUACACACGUCUUCCCUUGUCCAGAGGUGCUGUUUCUUACCCUUCAUCCACAAUCCACUGCUAUUUACAUCACUGCAGGAAAAUAUUUGAAGCAGUCACUAAAGGAGUCAUCUUUGUGUAGUAUGGGGAGCAGGGCACCUUCUAUUCCAGGACUUCAGAGAGUUGUGGCUUAGUGGAACAAAGCAGCUGGACUACCUCAAAGAUCAAAAGCAAGGCAAAUAUUCAGCUGUUGACUCUGAAGCACUCUCAGAGAAAACAGCCAACUAGCUGACACCAAUAAAGUCCCAGAACAGUUGAUUAAGUUUAAAUCUGUCACUUUUACCUGGGGGCGGGGGAAGGGGGGGAAACUGUAGGCUUAUGUGGUGAAAUAAACCAUUUAUUUCAAAACUAAACUUUGAAGUUUGAAAAUAAAAGAUAGAGUUAUGGCCCAGUACGCAAAGGGCUAUUCCAAACUGGAGGGCUCAUCUGAAUUUCAAAUGGUGAGUCACACCCUAAUACAGCUUUCCAGAUGGCUUAGUGGUAAAGAAUCCACCUGCCAAUGCAGGAGAUGCAAGAGACGUGGUUCAAUCCCUAGAAUGGGAAGAUCUCCUGGAGGAGGAAAUGGAAAUCCACUACAGCAUUGUUGCCGGGGAAACCCCAUGGACAGAGGAGCCUGGCAGGCUACAGUCCAUGGGAUCACAGGGAGCUGGACACAACACCCUAACAGGUCCAUCCUGAGAGCAUGGACUAUUGCAGAGGCAGAUGGAAGGAGGCAGCACCACCAGAUACCAGAGGGGCCUGAGCUGGGGGUACUGAAACCCCCUCCAGGUGGGAGAAGUUAAUGAUUAAUGAUGGUAUGCUGCCAACAAACCUGUAGACCCCAGACCAGUUAGACCUGAAGGUUGACGAUGCUGACUCCUGCUUACCUGACCACCAACCUAUCAGAAGAAUGUCCACAAACAGAUCAUACCCUCUUUGAGCAGUUACUAUAAAACUUCUCACUCCCUUCCCCAAGCUGGGACACAUGGUUGAGGGCAUUAGCCUACUUUGGCCCCUUUUGCUUGGCAAGGUGAUAAAGCCCAAAACUACUUCACCCAAAACUUGGUUUCAGAGAUUCGAUUUGGCACUGGUGUGCAGAGAAGCUGAGCUUUGGGCCUCGUAAUGCCUGACUGCCUUCAGGCUGACUUUGAUUAUUCUUAAGGCUUUAGGCAUUGAAUUAUUUUCAUGGCUGCUUACCAUUAAUUGUAGGAGGAAUCUACAACCCUACUCCAGAAUCCUUUCUCUGACAGCAAAAGUGUUUGAUUUUUCUACAGACAGUUAAGUUUUAUGUAAAAUAAAUGGUCAAAAAUGAAAAAUAGUCAUCCCUCUUUUGGAAUGUUUUCAUUGUUGUUUUAGUCACUCAGUCAUGUCCACCCCAUGGGCUGUUUUAGUCGCUCAGUCGUGUCCACCCCAUGGGCUGUUUUAGUCGCUCAGUCGUGUCCACCCCAUGGGCUGUUUUAGUCGCUCAGUCGUGUCCACCCCAUGGGCUGCAGCCCACCAGGGUCCUCUGUCCACAGGAUUUCCCAGGCAAGAAUACUAGAGUGGGUUGCCAUUUCCUUCUCCAGGGGAUCUUCCCGAUCCAGGAAUUGAACCCACAUCUCGUGCAUUGGCUACCAGAUUCUUUACCACUGAGCCACCAGGGAAGCCCCUUCUGGACUGUACUGGAGGCAAUGUAGUAUAGACAGAGAGCUGGACUUGGAUACAAGUCCUUUCCCUUUUGUGUGACACUGGGCUGGUCACUCUACAUCUCUGAAUUUCCAUUUAUAAAAUAGCAACAAUAUGAAUCCCACCCUCCCCAAGAAACAGACCACUGGGUGAUAAACAGAUAAACAAGAUAAUACAUAGGG